UACGAAGGGGGCUAGCGUUGCUCGGAAUCACUGGCGUAAAGGGUGCGUAGGCGGGUCUUUAAGUCAGGGGUGAAUCCUGGAGCUCAACUCCAGAACUGCCUUUGAUACUGAAGAUCUUGAGUUCGGGAGAGGUGAGUGGAACUGCGAGUGUAGAGGUGAAAUUCGUAGAUAUUCGCAAGAACACCAGUGGCGAAGGCCGGCUCACUGGCCCGAUACUGACGCUGAGGCACGAAAGCGUGGGAGCAACAGG
rnacentral:rRNA from 1 species